AUGAGGUUCUCUCUGGGACACGUGCACAACGCCCAGCGCAGCACUUGGCACUGGGGAGGCACUGAAUACAUGCUUCUCCACCUCCCCCAUCUGUCUGUUCACGUCUUGGAGCCAAGGAGAUCAUUUCAGAACUCUCUCAUCCCCGUGGCUCACGUACCACAGCAGGCUAUUCAGCAGAUGUAUCAUGGGGAAUCCUUUCAGUUCAGCAGAACCGGCCGUCUCAGCGUCACUCACGAGGAGUACACAGCACCAGUCCUGCGGAGGCUGCUCCCCGGACUGGACAGGGAAACCCUGAAUCUCCACUUCGUUCUGAACAGGAAGAGAGGUGCUGGUGCCCGGCUCGUGGCGACUCCCCCAAACGACUCCACCUGCCCAAACGCUGCUCGCGAGGGGUAGGGAUGAGCUGCCACCCUCACCCGGAUGGUGUGGACAUGCAGCAAAGAGGGCCAUUUAUCAGACUGGAUGGUAUGGGACAGUUGCUGCAGGUAUUUCAAGGCCUUAUUUCUUAAUAAACCCUCCCACUUUGAUAAAACUGCUACA
rnacentral:lncRNA from 1 species